CGCACGGGUGAGUAAUGCAUAGGUAACGUGCCCCUUAGUCUGGGAUAGCCACUGGAAACGGUGAUUAAUACUAGAUACGCCUUCUCUAUUAAUUAGAGUUGGGAAAGUUUUUCGCUAAGGGAUCGGCCUAUGUUGUAUCAGGUAGUUGGUGGGGUAAUGGCUCACCAAGCCAAUGACACAUAGCGGGUCUGAGAGGAUGAUCCGCCACACUGGUACUGAGACACGGACCAG
rnacentral:rRNA from 1 species